rnacentral:rRNA from 1 species
UACGGGGGGGGCAAGCGUUGUUCGGAAUUACUGGGCGUAAAGGGCUCGUAGGCGGCCAACUAAGUCAGACGUGAAAUCCCUCGGCUUAACCGGGGAACUGCAUCUGAUACUGGAUGGCUUGAGAUUGGGAGAGGGAUGCAGAAUUCCAGGUGUAGCGGUGAAAUGCGUAGGUAUCUGGAGGAACACCGGUGGCGAAGGCGGCAUCCUGGACCAACACUGACGCUGAGGAGCGAAAGCCAGGGGAGCAAACGGG